rnacentral:rRNA from 1 species
CAGUAGCCGCGGGAAUACGUAGGUGGCAAGCGUUGUCCGGAAUUAUUGGGCGUAAAGGGCUCGCAGGCGGUUUCUUAAGUCUGAUGUGGAAGCCCCCGGCUCAACCGGGGAGGGUCAUUGGAAACUGGGAAACUUGAGUGCAGAAGAGGAGAGUGGAAUUCCACGUGUAGCGGUGAAAUGCGUAGAGAUGUGGAGGAACACCAGUGGCGAAGGCGACUCUCUGGUCUGUAACUGACGCUGAGGAGCGAAAGCGUGGGGAGCGAACAGGAUUAGAUACCCCUGUAGUCCCUGUCUCUUAUAC